rnacentral:misc_RNA from 1 species
UUUCCGUAGGUGAACCUGCGGAAGGAUCAUUAACAAAUUUGUGGGGGCUGGUAAAGUCUUUUGCCUUUCCAGCUCCCAAACAUAUACCCGGCCACCGGUUUCUUUCGGGAGAUCAGUGGCUAGGAAAUAUAUUUACGCUUGUAAUGUUUUGACUGUAUAAAUUGAUGGUAAAUUUUAAACAACUUUUAACAAUGGAUCUCUUGGCUCUU